CGAGCAGGCAGCCUUAUCGCUGGCUACGGUCAGAGGAAAGUCCGGGCACCACAGAACAGCAUAGCGGAUAACAUCCGCCGGUUGUAAAACCAGGACAAGUGCAACAGAAAGAAUGUACAGGUAAUGCUGUAGUGAAAUCAGGUAAACUCUAUGCGGUGAAAUGCCAUGUAAACCAAUGUUUGAGGGCUGUUCGCCUGAUGUUGGAGGGUAGGCAGAUUGAGCGUUGGAGUAAUCCUCCGCCUAGAUAAAUGAUAAGGGAUUCGUCACGACGGAUUACAGAACCCGGCUUAUUGCCUGCUUUUAUU
rnacentral:RNase_P_RNA from 1 species